rnacentral:rRNA from 1 species
GAUGAACGCUGGCGGCGUGCCUAAUACAUGCAAGUCGAGCGAACAGAUGAGGAGCUUGCUCCUCUGACGUUAGCGGCGGACGGGUGAGUAACACGUGGAUAACCUACCUAUAAGACUGGGAUAACUUCGGGAAACCGGAGCUAAUACCGGAUAAUAUAUUGAACCGCAUGGUUCAAUAGUGAAAGACGGUUUUGCUGUCACUUAUAGAUGGAUCCGCGCCGCAUUAGCUAGUUGGUAAGGUAACGGCUUACCAAGGCAACGAUGCGUAGCCGACCUGAGAGGGUGAUCGGCCACACUGGAACUGAGACACGGUCCAGACUCCUACGGGAGGCAGCAGUAGGGAAUCUUCCGCAAAGGGCGAAAGCCUGACAGAGCAACGCCGCGUGAGUGAUGAAGGUCUUCGGAUCGUAAAACUCUGUUAUUAGGGAAGAACAAAUGUGUAAGUAACUAUGCACGUCUUGACGGUACCUAAUCAGAAAGCCACGGCUAACUACGUG